rnacentral:rRNA from 1 species
GAUGAACGCUGGCGGCGUGCUUAAUACAUGCAAGUCGAACGGAAUGUAGCAAUACAUUUAGUGGCGAACGGGUGAGUAACACGUUGGUGACCUGCCCCGAAGUGUGGGAUAACAGUCCGAAAGGAUUGCUAAUACCUCAUGUGAUUGCCGGGUUUAGAAGCUGGCAAUUAAAGCAGUAAUGCGCUUCGGGAGGGACCUGCGUCCCAUCAGCUAGUUGGUGAGGUAACGGCNCACCAAGGCUACGACGGGUAAGGACCUGAGAGGGUGGUCCCUCACAAUGGCACUGAAACACGGGCCAUACACCUACGGGUGGCAGCAGGUAGGGAAUAUUGGGCAAUGGGCGAAAGCCUGACCCAGCAACGCCGCGUGUGCGAUGAAGGCCUUC